rnacentral:rRNA from 1 species
GAUGAACGCUGGCGGCGUGCUUAACACAUGCAAGUCGAACGGAAAGGCCCAAGCUUGCUUGGGUACUCGAGUGGCGAACGGGUGAGUAACACGUGGGUGAUCUGCCCUGCACUUCGGGAUAAGCCUGGGAAACUGGGUCUAAUACCGGAUAGGACGAUGGUUUGGAUGCCAUUGUGGAAAGUUUUUUCGGUGUGGGAUGAGCUCGCGGCCUAUCAGCUUGUUGGUGGGGUAAUGGCCUACCAAGGCGUCGACGGGUAGCCGGCCUGAGAGGGUGUACGGCCACAUUGGGACCGAGAGACGGCCCAGACUCCUACGGGAGGCAGCAGUGGGGAAGAUUGCACAAUGGGCGCAAGCCUGAUGCAGCGACGCCGCGUGGGGGAUGACGGCCUUCGGGUUGUAAACUCCUUUCGCUAGGGACGAAGCGUUUUUGUGACGGUACCUGGAGAAGAAGCACCGGCUAACUACGU